AGCGAACGCUAGCGGGUGGCUUAACACAUGCAAGUCGAGCGGGGUCUUCGGGCCCAGCGGCGAACGGGUGAGUAACACGUAGGAUAUCUGCCUUUUGGUGGGCAUAGCCGGGGGAAACCUCGAUUAAUACCGCAUAUGGCCUAUGGGUCAAAGCCUUCGGGCGCCAAGAGAGGAGCCUGCGGCCCAUUAUUUAAUCCUAGUUGGUGGGGUAAUGGCCUACCAAGGGUACGAUGGGUAGCUGGUCUGAGAGGACGAUCAGCCACACUGGAACUGAGACACGGUCCAGACUCCACGGGAGGCAGCAGUGGGGAAUAUUGCGCAAUGGGCGAAGCCCUGACGCAGCCAA
rnacentral:rRNA from 1 species